GUAACUUCCUAUUCUCUAAUUUCAUGUUGAACAACAACCUUCCAAUGGUGUGACAGUCAGCCAAUCUCUAGGUCAGUCAGCCGAUGUGCAUGGUCAUUUGCCAUAAUCAUGGACACUCUACAUCUUUUGAGCUCCCAGCUAACACUUUGGUGAUUUUUCUCUUUGAUAUUUUCAUCUUUGUACCCAGGUUCCAAGCCAGCCUUAACACUAAUGACAGACGUGUGAUCCAGUUUCCACCAGUGAAAUGGGCCCCAAGACAAAGAAAGUCACAUUCAGCAUCCACCUUUCCAGAGAGAAUGGCAGGAAGUAAUGGGCUUUCAGGAGCAACAGAAGCAAAAUACCUAACAGUGAAAUCCUGUAGCCACCACAGCAUGUCAUGCGUGUGUCCACCGGGCAAGCUAUGGUGCUGCAUCCACAAUGACAGUGAGACUGGCCUGAGUCUAACAAAACUGGUGAAUCUACAAUAAAGACAAAACCACAUACAGGAUUGACAGACAAAGGAUGGGUGCCCCCCAGAUGGGAGACCAGACUGACGCCUGCCAGGCCACGUCCCCAGAGGGAUGUUUCAGAGCGUCUUGGCUAAGGUAUACCCGUAUAAACCCCGGGCCUGAUCACUCCAGAAUUUUUAGUCCUGAGGUGAAUCACCGUUAUGCCUUAUGACGUCCCCGUGGAACUGCGGGUGAAGGCCCACACAAGCCCCGUAGCCUUGCAGCCAUGGGACUACAUAUAUACACAUUCACUCUCUCACUCAACUGAGGUUAUGGAAAACAAACAAAAACUAAAUUACCCGAGCCUCCAGUCAGGUAACCUGAGCCUCCAGUGACGUCUCAUGGUAGGCUUGCCUGGUCAGAGUUGCAGUGACUGCGUCUGGUCCCCAGACUCAGGCCCCCUGAUGGACCGGUCCCCAGACCUGACUUACCUCUGGAGGUUCCCAGGACCCUAAGGAAUUUCAGGUGAAUAUCGCUGGGUAGUUGCUUAUCCUCCACGGGGCUGGAACUCUGGGGCCCUGGAACAGUUCAGGGGGCGCCUCCCCUAGAGGUCCCUGAGGUGGGGAGCGGCUGCCCGGGUGAGACUCUGAGAUGGCUUUUGUCUGGUGAUGGACAAAGAUAAAUCUCGGUGGAACCUCCAAAAUGUUGUACGGGCCCGAGCAUAGAAAGUCAACACUAAGAUAAAAGUAUGCCAAAUUGCUGGGUCUUUAUUGCUGGCGGCCACGGAGGACUCAUGUCUCUCCAAACUGUGGCCCCGAAAGGAGGGUGCCAAGACCUUUUAUACCCGUAAAAAUUACCUUGG
rnacentral:lncRNA from 13 species